rnacentral:rRNA from 1 species
UACGGGGGGGGCAAGCGUUGUUCGGAAUUACUGGGCGUAAAGGGCGCGUAGGCGGCCAUCUAAGUCAGACGUGAAAUCCCCCGGCUUAACCUGGGAACUGCGUCUGAUACUGGACGGCUCGAGUUUGGGAGAGGGAUGCAGAAUUCCAGGUGUAGCGGUGAAAUGCGUAGAUAUCUGGAGGAAUACCGGUGGCGAAGGCGGCAUCCUGGACUAAUACUGACGCUGAGGCGCGAAAGCUAGGGGAGCAAACGGG